AUUUUGUGCAUCAGAAGUGUAUAUGAAUACAUGCAACAAUAUGUACAACUGCAGAGAAAUAAUCCAUUUGAAAUUUGCAGCUACACAAGGGAUUAAAAAAAGCCACACAGGUGGGGCAUGCUUUGAGAGGUUGUUGACCAAUAUUCAGGUGAACCAAAACCUACCUUUGAUAGGUUGACCAAUAUUCAGGUGAACCAAAACCUACCUUUGAUAGGUUGACCAAUCUUACAAAGUUCAUAUUUUUCCUUUGCAAAGAGAUCAAAAAUAUUUCUCUACCGCAAAGCAGACAUAAGCUCCAACAUAUUGCUCGCAGUCCUAUGGAAGCGUCCCUCGUUGAACG
rnacentral:lncRNA from 1 species